rnacentral:rRNA from 1 species
UACAGAGGGUGCGAGCGUUAAUCGGAAUUACUGGGCGUAAAGCGCACGUAGGUGGCGACGUAAGUCGGGUGUGAAAGCCCCGGGCUCAACCUGGGAAUUGCAUUCGAGACUGCAUUGCUGGAGUACGGAAGAGGAGGGCGGAAUUCCCGGUGUAGCGGUGAAAUGCGUAGAUAUCGGGAGGAACAUCAGUGGCGAAGGCGGGUCUCUGGGCAGUAACUGACGCUGAGGAGCGAAAGCGUGGGGAGCGAACAGG